rnacentral:rRNA from 1 species
UCCUACGGGAGGCAGCAGUGGGGAAUAUUGGACAAUGGGGGAAACCCUGAUCCAGCAAUGCCGCGUGAGUGAAGAAGGCCUUAGGGUUGUAAAGCUCUUUCGCCCGUGACGAUGAUGACGGUAACGGGAGAAGAAGCCCCGGCUAAUUCCGUGCCAGCAGCCGCGGUAAUACGGAAGGGGCUAGCGUUGUUCGGAUUUACUGGGCGUAAAGCGCAUGUAGGCGGCGGAUCAUGUGGGGCGUGAAAAGGCCUGGGCUCAACCUGGGAACUGCGCUUCA